GAACUGCGGAAGGAUCAUUACCGAGUGAGGGCCCUUUGGGUCCAACCUCCCACCCGUGUUUAUUUUACCUUGUUGCUUCGGCGGGCCCGCCUUUACUGGCCGCCGGGGGGCUCACGCCCCCGGGCCCGCGCCCGCCGAAGACACCCCCGAACUCUGUCUGAAGAUUGAAGUCUGAGUGAAAAUAUAAAUUAUUUAAAACUUUCAACAACGGAUCUCUUGGUUCCGGCAUCGAUGAAGAACGCAGCGAAAUGCGAUACGUAAUGUGAAUUGCAAAUUCAGUGAAUCAUCGAGUCUUUGAACGCACAUUGCGCCCCCUGGUAUUCCGGGGGGCAUGCCUGUCCGAGCGUCAUUGCUGCCCUCAAGCCCGGCUUGUGUGUUGGGCCCCGUCCUCCGAUUCCGGGGGACGGGCCCGAAAGGCAGCGGCGGCACCGCGUCCGGUCCUCGAGCGUAUGGGGCUUUGUCACCCGCUCUGUAGGCCCGGCCGGCGCUUGCCGAUCAACCCAAAUUUUUAUCCAGGUUGACCUCGGAUCAGGUAGGGAUACCCGCUGAACUUAAGCAUAUCAAUAAGGCGGAGGAAAUUACCGAGGGAGGGCCCUUUGGGUCCACCUCCACCCGUGUUUAUUUUACCUUGUUGCUUCGGCGGGCCCCCUUUACUGGCCGCCGGGAGGGCUCACGC
rnacentral:rRNA from 1 species